rnacentral:rRNA from 1 species
ACAGGUGCUGCAUGGCUGUCGUCAGCUCGUGUGUGAGUGUUGGGUUAAUCCCCGCACGAGCGCAACCCUUGUCAUUUAUUGCUACAUAAAGGGCACUCUUCAAAUACUGCUGCUGACAAACCGGAGGAAGGUGGGGAUGACUGAAAGUCCUCAUGGCCCUUAUGGUGGGGCUUCCUUCGUCAUACAAUGGUGCAUACAUAGGGUUCCCAACCCCCCAGGGGAACCCAAUCCCAAAAAAAAAAUGUAUCUCCGGAUCGAUCUCUGCAACUCGACUACCUGAAGUUGGAAUCAAUUAGUAAU